AGGUGGCCGGUGUGGGCGCUGAGCAUCUUCAGGACCCUGAUGGGGAGCCGGUUCGCCUGGCGCAGGGGGUCCGCUGGGGGCAGGAUAUUCUGGAUCGAUAUGGCAAGUGCAUUGAGACUGCAGCAACACAUUUAAAACCUUAUAAAAGGUUAUUUAGUUGCUAACAGUGCAGCAGUUUCUGCAAAGCCUGCCAAAAGGUUACAGCUUUUUGGGCAUCAUAAAUUACAGACGACAGGGGAAAAAAAUGGACAAUGACUAGUAUCUAAUUAGGCCCGUGCCAACCCUGCAAGACAUGGUUCAUACAGGUGUCGGGGAGCAGAGCCCUGCACAGCUUGGAAUCAAAUCAAAGCAUCCUCUGCUGGCUCCCUUGCCAGUCCAAAUCUGGUGAAAUAUGGAUAAUGGGUACCCGCUGGACAGCACAACUCUCCUCCAUGCUUUCUAGGCUUGCGUUGUCCAGGAAUUUCAUUGCAUCACAGCCCCACAGGAAAAGCCUCAUGGUAGCUACAGGUCCUCCUGGGUGGAGAUGGAGCCUUACAUGUCCUCCUGGGAAGCCACAAGAAGGUGUCUUGAGAGUUCACAAUGCCAUUGGCGAGAUACUCCUCUCACACCAGGUUAUGUGGACUUCAGUGGAAUUACUCUUGAUUUACACCAGCGUGAGAUCAGCUUCCUGCCUCUGCAUCUUUCCCUUCUCAGGCUCCUAUUAUCCCCCACGCCCGUCCCGAUUUUUCACACUUGCUGUCUGGUCACCCUACUCCAGUGUGGCAGCCAGGGGA